GAUGAACGCUGGCGGCGUGCCUAACACAUGCAAGUCGAACGGAGAUUACGGACGGAAGUUUUCGGAUGGAAGCCUGUAAUUCUUAGUGGCGGACGGGUGAGUAACGCGUGGGCAACCCGCCCUAUACAGGGGGAUAGCAGCUGGAAACGGCUGGUAAGACCGCAUAAGUCGGUUAAAUCGCAUGAUUUGAUCGGGAAAUGAGCAAUCAGGUAUAGGAUGGGCCCGCGUCCGAUUAGCCAGUUGGCAGGGUAAAAGCCUACCAAAGCGACGAUCGGUAGCCGGACUGAGAGGUCGGACGGCCACAUUGGGACUGAGACACGGCCCAAACUCCUACGGGAGGCAGCAGUGGGGGAUAUUGCACAAUGGAGGAAACUCUGAUGCAGCGACGCCGCGUGAGUGAAGAAGUAUUUCGGUAUGUAAAGCUCUAUCAGCAGGGAAGAUGAUGACGGUACCUGACGAAGAAGCCCCGGCUAACUACGUG
rnacentral:rRNA from 1 species